rnacentral:rRNA from 1 species
AUCUCCCUAGAGGCACAAGAUCCUGUCUGAUCUUAGAAGCUAAGCAGGGUCAGGUCUGGGUAGUAUUUGGAUGGAAGACUACCAAGUAAUGCCAGAU